UACGUAGGGGGCUAGCGUUGCUCGGAAUCACUGGGCGUAAAGGGUGCGUAGGCGGGUCUUUUAAGUCAGGGGUGAAAUCCUGGAGCUCAACUCCAGAACUGCCUUUGAUACUGAAGAUCUUGAGUUCGGGAGAGGUGAGUGGAACUGCGAGUGUAGAGGUGAAAUUCGUAGAUAUUCGCAAGAACACCAAUGGCGAAGGCGGCUCACUGGCCCGAUACUGACGCUGAGGCACGAAAGCGUGGGGGAGCAAACAGGG
rnacentral:rRNA from 1 species